rnacentral:rRNA from 1 species
UACGAAGGGGGCUAGCGUUGCUCGGAAUCACUGGGCGUAAAGCGCACGUAGGCGGGUCUUUAAGUCAGAGGUGAAAUCCUGGAGCUCAACUCCAGAACUGCCUUUGAUACUGGAGAGCUUGAGUCCGGGAGAGGUGAGUGGAACUGCGAGUGUAGAGGUGAAAUUCGUAGAUAUUCGCAAGAACACCAGUGGCGAAGGCGGCUCACUGGCCCGAUACUGACGCUGAGGCACGAAAGCGUGGGGAGCAAACAGG